CACAGAUGAGGGAGACAAUAUAGGUGAUGCAGUGGACCAUUUCGUGAAGACUAGGGUCUCUCUAUCUUUGUCCCGUAUUCUCCACGGGAGGCUUCUUUGCAAUGGCAACAGAGCAUAUCCAUUGCAUUGUGGGUGGGUAUUGACUGCAAGAGACGACAAUCCAUGUCGUCAUCGUCGGCUUGAGAAGGUUUACUUUCUCACUGCCUCUAGGGUUCUCUUCUCCAACCCUCCUCAUAUCAGCAAGUUUUGGUAGCUGAGCUGAAAAAGAAUGAAGAACGAAAGCAUCAUGUAAUCGAAUUUCGAGUCAUAGAAAAGAGGAAAGUAAUGGGGUCCGAUUCUGAAUUUUCAAGCUUAAAAUCAAGAGUUGAUGCAUUAGAGAGGAGAUUGAAGCUGAAUCAAAGAAAAUGCCAAGUGUCACCAAAACCAACGAUGAGGAAGAACAUAAGAAGAGGUUGCAGCUUUCAGAUGCUGGUUCAAACACCAAAAUUGCCACGGGUAACAAACUAGUUUGAAGUUGGAGGAGCCAGCAUUGAACUUGGUUUUGAAGCUGCUAAGCAGAAGCCAGAAGUGAAUGCCAGCAAUGGAGGCAUCAGUUGAAUGUCUUUGUUGAUACAGUUGAUUUACACGCCAUGGAUUUGUUUCUUGGGGCGUUUCACAGUCAAUAAAGUUGGACAACUCUUGAGUGAACUAACUGAAAAUAUUUCUCUGCUAUUCCAGCUUCCUCCCUUGAUUUUUUCUGUAUGUAUAUUUCUUCAUCAAAGAUUUGAAAUGAACAACCCUACUAGGUUGAAGUUGGAGGAGACAGCAUUGAACUCGGUUAUUGAAGCUGCUAAGGAGAAGCCAGAAGUGAAUGCCAGCAAUGGAGGCAUCAGUUGAAUGUCUUUGGUUGAUUCUGUUGAUUUGCACGCCAUGGAUUUGCCUCUUGGGGCGUUUCACAGUCAAUAAAGUUGGACAACUCUUGAGUGAACUCACUGUAAAUAUUUCUCUGCUAUUUCUUCUUCAUCAAAGAUUUGAAAUGAACCAAAGAGCUUAGCUCUGAAGGGACACUUCAGGUACAGACAAAUUCAAACAGAGGUAUGGUUGCUGAAAACUGCGGGGUGUUAACCGCGAUUUUUAUGAACUCUAUAUGAAUUUCUCUUUUUUCUU